rnacentral:rRNA from 1 species
AGCAGCCGCGGUAAUUCCAGCUCCAAUAGCGUAUAUUAAAGUUGUUGCAGUUAAAAAGCUCGUAGUUGAAUUUCGGGGUCAGUAGGUUGGUCAUGCCACUGGUAUGUACUGGCCUCACUGAUUCCUCCUUCCUGAUGAGCCGUAAUGCCAUUAAUUUGGUGUUGCGAGGAAUCUGGACUGUUACUUUGAAAAAUUAGAGUGUUUAAAGCAGGCUAACGCUUGAAUACAUUAGCAUGGAAUAAUGAAAUAGGACGUUCGAUCUUAUUUUGUUGGUUUCUAAGAUUGACGUAAUGAUUAAUAGGGAUAGUUGGGGGCAUUAGUAUUCAAUUGUCAGAGGUGAAAUUCUUGGAUUUAUUGAAGACUAACUACUGCGAAAGCAUUUGCCAAGGAUGUUUUCAUUAAUCAAGGACGAAAGUUAAGGGGAUCGAAGACGAUCAGAUACCGUCGUAGUCUUAA